rnacentral:misc_RNA from 1 species
GUGGUGUUUGGUUUGAUACGGGUGGUCGGCUCCCUGCUUGAGCAGGCACGGCCUCGCGUACAUUCCUUUUCAGUUGUACGACACGGCUUGUAUCGCCUUGAUCGUAUAUGUGGGUUUCCUGUGUUGCAUACCUGAUCAAAGGAAUCGUCUAGAUCAAAAAAGUCCCUUUUUCGUCAAGCGUUGCCCUUGUGACGUCGGACGAACCAAGUAGCAUCCUUUUUGAUCCAUCCUGUUGAUGAGCAUUCGUCGAUGGUUUGGCCCAAUGAGGGUUGCAUGGUCUCUCGGAUAUGGAAGCAAUAGUUGGCUUGGGGUCGUAAGAUCCUUUUUAUUGCCCUCAUUGAGCGUUCUCGCUUCUCUAAAACGACUGUCUUUCACGUAUGGCACGUCCCAGCGUGUUUGGCUAACGUCAAAGAGGAAUGC